UACACUCCUACGGGAGGCAGCAGUGGGGAAUUUUGGCCAAUGGGCGAAAGCCUGAUCCAGCAAUGCCGCGUGUGUGAAGAAGGCCUUCGGGUUGUAAAGCACUUUUGUCCGGAAAGAAAUCCUUGGCUCUAAUACAGUCGGGGGAUGACGGUACCGGAAGAAUAAGCACCGGCUAACUACGUGCCAGCAGCCGCGGUAAUACGUAGGGUGCGAGCGUUAAUCGGAAUUACUGGGCGUAAAGCGUGCGCAGGCGGUUUGCUAAGACCGAUGUGAAAUCCCCGGGCUCAACCUGGGAACUGCAUUGGUGACUGGCAGGCUAGAGUAUGGCAGAGGGGGGUAGAAUUCCACGUGUAGCAGUGAAAUGCGUAGAGAUGUGGAGGAAUACCGAUGGCGAAGGCAGCCCCCUGGGCCAAUACUGACGCUCAUGCACGAAAGCGUGGGGAGCAAACAGGAUUAGAAACCCCUGGUAGUCCCA
rnacentral:rRNA from 1 species